UCACCGCCCGUCACAUCACUUGAAUCUGUUGUUCCCGAAGUCGCUGGCCGAACCCGCAAGGGACGGAGGCGCCGAAGGAGUGGCCGGUGAGAGGGGUG
rnacentral:rRNA from 1 species